AUGUGAAUUCCUACAACAUAGCGUUAAUGCAUCGAAUCCCAUUAGAACUCCGCAGUUAAGUGCGCUCAGGAUAGAGUAGUACUCGGAUGGGUGAUCGCCCGGGAAGUCCUAGUAUUUUACAUG
rnacentral:rRNA from 1 species